rnacentral:rRNA from 1 species
AAUGGCUCAUUAUAUAAGUUAUCGUUUAUUUGAUAGUACUUUCCUACAUGGAUAACCGUGGUAAUUCUAGAGCUAAUACAUGCUAAAAAUCCCGACUUCGGAAGGGAUGUAUUUAUUAGAUUAAAAACCAAUGCCCUUCGGGGCUCACUGGUGAUUCAUAAUAACUUCACGGAUCGCACGGCCUUGCGCCGGCGAUGGUUCAUUCAAAUUUCUUCCCUAUCAACUUUCGAUGUUUGGGUCUUGGCCAAACAUGGUUGCAACGGGUAACGGAGGGUUAGGGCUCGACCCCGGAGAAGGAGCCUGAGAAACGGCUACUACAUCCAAGGAAGGCAGCAGGCGCGCAAAUUACCCAAUCCCGAUACGGGGAGGUAGUGACAAUAAAUACUGAUACAGGGCUCUUUUGGGUCCUGUAAUUGGAAUGAGUACAAUUUAAAUCCCUUAACGAGGAACAAUUGGAGGGCAAGUCUGGUGCCAGCAGCCGCGGUAAUUCCAGCUCCAAUAGCGUAUAUUAAAGUUGUUGUGGUUAAAAAGCUCGUAGUUGAACCUUGGGCCUGGCUGGCCGGUCCGCCUCACCGCGUGUACUGGUCCGGCCGGGUCUUUCCCUCUGUGGAACUCCAUGCCCUUCACUGGGUGUGGCAGGGAAACAGGACUUUUACUUUGAAAAAAUUAGAGUGCUCCAGGCAGGCCUUUGCUCGAAUACAUUAGCAUGGAAUAAUAAAAUAGGACGUGUGGUUCUAUUUUGUUGGUUUCUAGGACCGCCGUAAUGAUUAAUAGGGACAGUCGGGGGCAUCAGUAUUCAAUAGUCAGAGGUGAAAUUCUUGGAUCUAUUGAAGACUAACUACUGCGAAAGCAUUUGCCAAGGAUGUUUUCAUUAAUCAGGAACGAAAGUUAGGGGAUCGAAGACGAUCAGAUACCGUCGUAGUCUUAACCAUAAACUAUGCCGACUAGGGAUCGGACGAUGUUAUAUUUUGACUCGU